ensembl:lncRNA
GCAAUGGGCGAAGGUUUGGGGCAGCCGUUCUCAAAGUGUUCCCAGGGCCGCUGCGAGUCCUGAGGUCACUUGGCUUUUUCCCUCUUCUGGAAUUUUCCAGAGCCAGUGGGGUAUGAUCUCAUCGCCCUCAUGACUCAAGGAGUGUGUGCUUGCCUGUUGUAUUUCCUAGGAUUUCCUAAAGAAAAUCUAGGAAUAAAAUCAGCAUUUAAAUAAAGCUGGUCUUGGUCAGGCAUGGUAGUACACGCCUGUAAUUCCAGCACUCCAGAGGCUGAGUCAGGAAGAUCACCUUGAAUUCAAGGCCAGCCUAGACUACAUAGCAUGACAACGCUCUCAAAAACAGAAACAGAAACAAAAAGAGAUAUAAACAAGAAAAGGGUCUCACAAUGUAGCCCAGGCUGUUCUUGAACAAAUGGCGGUCUUCCCGCCUCAGCCUCCCAAGAAGCUGGACCUACAGGCAUGUGUCAGCACUCCUGGAUUUGCAGUGAUUCUUGUUGAUGUUUGCCAACCACCAAGGUCAAAGACUAUAUUGUUGGAUACAGUGUCCUGUGUCGCCGUCGUAGGAAACACUCCACAGCUCCAGCAGCAGCUCACAGCUUGCCAUUCUGGUCACAGUUCCACGCUUGUUUCGGGCCGCUUUUACCUGCUUCUUCCGCGGUGAACGACACCAAGCGGAGGUGAGAAUGGUACACACGUGAAGGUCUGGCCCAUCAGUGAGACAGACUUGGAUUCACCUGAAAGGAUCCAAUGGAAUAGCAUUAGAAGCUUGGAAUCUGUUUUUCUCAAAGCACAGUAGAAAAAGUAGAAAUAGAGUUUCCUUAUUUACUCGUUUGAAACAGAAAAGAGUCCUAGGUUGAGAAAAUGUAAAUGGAGGCCUAGGGUUUUUUUGUUUGUUUGUUUUUGUUUCUUUUUUUUGAGACAGGGUCUCCCAAUGUAGUUCAGGCUGGCCUUGAACUCACUAUACAGCCCAGGCUGGCCUUCAAUUCGUGGUAAUCCUCCUGCCUCUGCUUCCUGAGUGUCGGGAUUGCAGGUGUGCGCCACAACGCCUGCCUUGACCGAGGAUUUUGACAUGUCGAUCUUCAAGACAUUUUGUUUGCAGUAUGUGGGGGAUCCAUUUGAUGAUAACUCAUCAACUAAGCUAGAGCUGUGUGUCAUUCAUUACUUUAUAAUUUACCAAAGUAAAAAAAAUGUAGACUCCAUUUGUCUGUAUGAAGAAACAGUGGAACAGGGAGACAUGGCUGAAGGCCUGGGGAAUGUUGAGUGUGUGCAUGAGAAGGGGUCGAUCACCCCUUUGGGCUCUCUGAACAGCACCAUGCGGGAGGCAGCAGAAAGGGAGCCAGGGAGAAAGCGGUUGAUCCUUUUCUAAGAAAGAUUUGUAUUACUGAAGGCACUAGCUGUGUUCAGUGUCAGAAAUACCGGAAGAAACGCUAGUCACCAGGGCACAAGGAACCAAAAUUGCAUUGGAUGGGCUCAAAGGUCAUGUAUUUGAAGUGAGCCUUGCUGAUCUGCAGAGUAAUGAAGUUGCAUUUAGAAAAUUCGAGCUGAUCACUGAAGAUGUUUGGGGCAAAACCCGCCUGCCUAACUGAAAUGAAAAAACAAAAGACAAAGCAGGGACUAACAGUCUCAAAGCUUGGCAGAGACUGACGGUCUCAAGGCGCCCCUCCUGCUAAACCCACGAAGGCCACUGUGCCCGAAAGAUGAACUGGCGAAACAACAGCUGCCUGUACGGCCCUGUGUCUUAAAGAUAAUCUGUAAAAGCAACAUCUGCCUGCACCUCCCUAGCCCUGCGCUAAGUUCUGCUUCUGUAAAAUUCUGCUUGCUUCCCCACCCCGCCUAAAGAGCAAGAUCGAAAUGAAAACAAACUUAGAAUCGGGGCUCAGGCUCUGGAAGGCGACUUCCACUGAGCCCGCCAGUGAAUAAACCUGCCUUUCCUUUCAAUUCUCUGAGCGCCGCUCUCUUCCAUGGUCUGCCUGUCCUCCGAGUGCUGUAACAUAACUUCCAUGUCAUGGAUCUCACCGUGACAAAAUGUGACUCACCGUCAAAAAAUGACAGACUGUGAUCGAAGCUCUUGCUGAUGUCAAGACUACCAAUGGUUAUUUGCUUCGUUUGUUCUAUGCCGGUUUUACUGAAAAACCGAAACAAUCAGAUACGGAAGGCCCCUUCCGCUCAGCGUCAGCAGGUCCGCACAGUCGGGAAGAGGAUGGAAAUCCUGACCCGAGAGGUGCAGAUGGUCAAUAAACGGAGUCCAGACAGCGUUGGGAAAGACAUAGAAGAGGCUUGCUGGUCUGUUUAUCCUCUUCAUGAUGUCUUCGUCAGAAAAGGAAAAAUAGAAGCCCGAGUUUGAGCUGGGAAAACUCCUGCAGCUUCGUGGGGAAGGUAGUAGCCCUGGAAUAGCACUGAGGAAGAGACUGGUG